rnacentral:lncRNA from 1 species
AUGUGUGAUCUCGGAUGGACACAUCCUGAGCCCCUCCUCUUACAGCCGGGCCUGCGGGAUUGGGGGCCUGGUGAGAGGACUCAGACCUGGUCCCAGCCCUCCUCUACCUCAUCGUCUGAGAAUCUGGUAAGACACGGACUGAGUCUUACAACUUUGAGGCCUGAGGAUAAUUUAGAGGUCAAGUGCUCCAAGGGGCUAUCGAACUUGCUUCAUCUCAUAAUCCUAAAGUGGGAAACAGAGAAGGGGGGCUGGGCGGGAGGGGGGGGGGGGGGGGUAGGUGCAGGGGUUACUUCCUAGGGGCUCUGGAGCCUCUGAGCUGGUUCCCAGCCUGGAUCUGCCUUAGGUCCAGGCGGAGAAGGCAGCCAGAGGCCAGGGGUUAAGGAUCUGCUGCUGAAAACGGAGGGGCUGGUCUUUGGGCAGAGGCCUAGUGGGGGGAGCCUAGCCUGGACUGUGGCUCCUCUAAGUCCUCCCCAGACGCUGGUGGCUUCCUCCACCUUGAGGAGCGUUUCAAAUUCCAAGCUAGGCAAGCCUCCUUAGCUGCCUCUGGCUCCCCACUAUUGUCGCAGAAUGAUUCUGUGUCAGGGACCUACUGUGUGCCAGGCACUUAGGUAGGCGCCUCACUUGCCGGAUCUCUAGCCUUCCAACGGGACUCUAGGAGGUGAAGUGACCUGCCUAAGAUUACACUGCUAGCAACCGGCCAAGAACCCAGCAAAAUUGGGACUCUUUUUAGAGAUGAAACAUCAGAGACUGACCCAUUCCCUUGUUUUAGGUCUAAGAGACAACAGAUGCUCCGAGAGGGCAACUCCUCCCUUGCGUCGGUCACACAGCCAGUUAGCUUCACAGCGGAGACUGGAAUUCAGAUUUAGGGUUUCCCAAGCCAUGUAGGAAACUGAACUUGAAGGCUCUGGUUUAUUCCUCUCCUGCCCUCCCCACCCCCAACCUCUCUUAUAUGACACUUGACAUUAUCCAUCACUUCCUCCCCCUGGGAACGCCUUCCUCCUCCAGUUUCUAUGGCAGCAUAUUAUCCCCAUCCUCCUCCUGCUUCUCCGGCAGCUUCUCACUCUCCGCUGUGGUUCCUGAGCCUAGAAGGUGGUGGGAUCCCCAGGCCAGGUCCCCGGUGUCUUCUCUCUGCAUUGCUGCCCCUGAAAGCUCAUCUAGUCUUCCCUCUAGGCCUCCAGCUCUGACCUUGAGCUGCAGGACCGCUUCUAAGUAACAACAGCCACUUGCCCUGUGCUAAGAGCUUACCUGUAUUUGGGACCCUGUGUUUGCACAUUAGCUUAUUAAAUCCUCACAACGUCCCCAUGAAGAAAGUCCGUUCUACAGAUGAGGAAACUGAGGCAGAGAGGGAAAGCCAAAAUCUGACUCUAGCUUUAACCACUACUUCUAUUACCACAAGAAAAGAUAGGAAAUUGUAGGACGUUUUGAAACCAGAGGCAAAAACUUGCCUCCACCUCCUGAAGAGAGGGGAGUGGAAACCUGGUGGGGGGGAUCAGACCUACUUCAUGGUUUUGAGAGCCCUGUGAUGAUCUAGAAUUACACUGUCAAUUUGGAGCUUUAAAGUGCAUCAUGCACAGUACAUUCUGAAAUGUGAAGAUUUGGAGAGCUCCAGGAGGAACAAAAGUUCAGGGAAAAUUGCCCUUUUCCUUCAGAUUUUUCCAUUUGGUUUUAAGUCUUCAAAAAUCCGCAUUCCGGGGUUUCAGCAACUAAGGUUCUUCUAUAUUGAUGAUGCCUGGAAUUCACCAGAAACUCGGAUGCUGGAGUUCUACUGACCUGAGGCUCUGUGACUAGGGGUGAGUGGCUUGACCUCUGAACCUGUUGUCUAAAAUGAGGGUAAUAGUACUUCCACUUGGCUGUCAUGAGGCUUGGAUGGGAAAAUGUGCAUAAAGCACUUGGCACAGAGCCUGGCACUCGAAAGUGCUCAGUUAAGCUCCAUACUUGAGAUGCACAUGGCUUUUCUCAGGUUCGCCAAGCACCUUAACAUUUCCAUGCUUUUGCACAUGCUGUCCCCUCUUCUUGGUGGCCAACUCCUACACAUCCUUUAAAGCCCUCUAUUUCCAAUGUCUUCUAGAAUUGCUACAAAUGGGUUUUAGUAAAAAGCUAGAAAAGAUACUUUCCCGUGCCAUCCUCCCCAGGGCUUCCUGUCACUGCAUGCCUCGCACUGAGAUGCAAUGAUCUGUUGAUGCCUCGUGUCCCAGGCUGGGCUUGAAUUUCCUGAGGGCAGGGCUAUCUCUGACUUAUUUCUGAGUUCCAAUGCCUGGGGUACACAGCCUGGUACCAAGCGGAUUUCAGUACAAGCUGGCUUUACCUUAAAUGCGCAUGGUCUGGACCCAGCCUCUGCUGACUCCAGGACAGAUUUAUGUAUGAAAAGUAGUAAAAAGCAGCCAGGUCUGUUACAGCCUUUGGAAAUGGCAGUGAGCAGGUCCAGGGCAAGCUUAAGAGAGGGUUGAAGGGGACACAGCCCUUGCAGGGAGAAUCAACAGCCCUGGAUCCAAGGUCACCUUCUUCAGAAGUCUUCCCCCAUCCCUAAAUUGUCCCCUGUCUCUGACAUCUCUCCAAGGCAUUAGCAGGAAGGGUCCCACACAAUGAAGAGUGUCCAGGAGGGACCCCCGCCUUGCUGAUACCCCACCCCCUCAAGCAUUCAAACACAGAAGUCUCUAUGGGCACUGAGCACUGCCUUACAUCUUCCAAAGUGCUACUGAAGCCAUUUCCUGGAGGAAGAAAAUUCUCAGAUCUGGAGCUUCUUGGGGUCUGCACCCUGAGAUGGGGCUGUGCUUUGUCUACUAAAGGGCAUCCCUACCCCUAAUGUGCCCAAAGCCCAUCCUGGUGCCUAAACCCCCAACCUCCUGAAUGGUAGUUCUUCCCCUGCUGGAGUGACAGUCUCCCAGACAAGGGAGAGGCUUUUGUUCCAAGGAAAUGACUGUCAAAAGGGAGAAGAGGUAUCUUCUUUCCUUUUUUUUUUUUUUUUUUUUUUUGGUUUGAGACAAAGACGUCAGUUUCUUUCCAUCUGUCCCAAAAAGGGAAGAAAAAAUUAAUUUGUUUCUACAAGGAUGUCAGCUCACUGCUUCAAUAGGGAGGCAGGGGUGCGGGACUGAAGCAGUGUCUGUGAGGGGAGGGGGCGGGGAGAGGAGGUGAAGCACGGGGGAGGCAUAGGGAACAAGGACAGUCCCUGAUAGGAAAGCAAAGACCUAGGAAUGC